AUUGAACGCUGGCGGCAUGCCUUACACAUGCAAGUCGAACGGCAGCACGGGAGCAAUCCUGGUGGCGAGUGGCGAACGGGUGAGUAAUAUAUCGGAACGUGCCCAGUCGUGGGGAUAACGUAGCGAAAGCUACGCUAAUACCGCAUACGAUCUAUGGAUGAAAGCGGGGGAUCGCAAGACCUCGCGCGAUUGGAGCGGCCGAUAUCAGAUUAGGUAGUUGGUGAGGUAAAGGCUCACCAAGCCGACGAUCUGUAGCUGGUCUGAGAGGACGACCAGCCACACUGGGACUGAGACACGGCCCAGACUCCUACGGGAGGCAGCAGUGGGGAAUUUUUGGGACAAUGGGCGCAAGCCUGAUCCAGCAAUGCCGCGUGCAGGAUGAAGGCCUUCGGGUUGUAAACUGCUUUUGUACGGAACGAACGGUGAGCUCUAAUACAGUUUGCUAA
rnacentral:rRNA from 1 species